rnacentral:rRNA from 1 species
AUUGAACGCUGGCGGCAGGCCUAACACAUGCAAGUCGAACGAGUGGCGGACGGGUGAGCAAUGUCUGGGAAACUGCCUGAUGGAGGGGGAUAACUACUGGAAACGGUAGCUAAUACCGCUUACCCUCAGAUGUGCCCAGAUGGGAUUGGCUGGUUGGUGGGGUAACGGCUCCCCAAGGCGACGAUCCCUAGCUGGUCUGAGAGGAUGACCAGCCCCGCUGGAACGGAGACACGGUCCAGACUCCGACGGGAGGGAGCAGUGGGGAAUAUUGCACAAGGGGCGCAAGCCUGAGGCAGCCAUGCCGCGUGUAUGAAGAAGGCCUUCGGGUUGUAAAGUACUUGCAGCGGGGAGGCGUUAGCCGCAGAAGAAGCACCGGCUAACUCCGUGCCAGCAGCCGCGGUAAUAC